CCUACGGGUGGCUGCAGUGGGGAAUAUUGGACAAUGGGCGAAAGCCUGAUCCAGCCAUGCCGCGUGUGUGAAGAAGGCCUUCGGGUUGUAAAGCACUUUCAGUGGGGAAGAAAGCCUUGGGGCUAAUACCCUCGAGGAAGGACAUCACCCACAGAAGAAGCACCGGCUAACUCCGUGCCAGCAGCCGCGGUAAUACGGAGGGUGCGAGCGUUAAUCGGAAUUACUGGGCGUAAAGCGCGCGUAGGCGGUCUGAUAAGCCGGUUGUGAAAGCCCCGGGCUCAGCCUGGGAACGGCAUCCGGAACUGUCAGGCUAGAGUGCAGGAGAGGAAGGUAGAAUUCCCGGUGUAGCGGUGAAAUGCGUAGAGAUCGGGAGGAAUACCAGUGGCGAAGGCGGCCUUCUGGACUGACACUGACGCUGAGGUGCGAAAGCGUGGGUAGCAAACAGGAUUAGAUACCCUAGUAGUC
rnacentral:rRNA from 1 species